GGGCUACUUCAGGCUUCAGAAGAAUUGCCACUUUUGCAGUCAAAUCCAAGUAACAUCUGCUCUAUGCAACCAGUCAAUAUUGUGGAAAAGUUCAAAGAAUGAAGAUCAUUAGUAGUGUCAGCUUUACAACCAGAAGUCACUUGGCAAGUAAAAUGAAGGCAUUAUAUAUAUUGAGGGUAUCAUUACAUAACUUUCAGGCAAGUUAAAUCAAGUCUGAUGUAUGCAUGAAGUGACAACUGCUUCACAGAAGCAGCAAAAUCCACAAAAUAUUUUGAGGGCUGCAUAUGCUAGUGCAGGAAACUUGUUAUUGCCUCUGAAUAAACAGGUUCCUAUA